GAGAAGGAAAAAUGGUUUAUUGACGGCCGGCCGGACUCGGGAGCUUUCUGUUUGAAUCCCGAGCCCGGAACAAGAUUUUCAAACGUCUUUUAUACAGAGAGGAAAGGCCAAAUGGUCCCUUUGUUUCAGUUCUCAAUAGGCUUCAAUUAGCAUAUAUCUCUUCCACAUCUUAGGUAAGCUUUUAGCAAGGACUCCAGACAUUUUAGAUAAGCCUUGGUUUUUGCAUUUCCCCUAAAUACUUAAAGUUUAUAGCCCUUGCUUUGUUAAACAUUUCCUGGGACUGGAGCCUGCUGGUCCCUAAGAGCAGGACUGCAGCCUCUUACCGUUUCACACCCACAAGUCAAACAACUUAGUUAUCUCUGAAGAGACAAAGAGCCUUCCACCCAUAGCCCACAUCAUUCCUACACUCCAGGGAAAGGGUCCUCUGCCAACGAGCGGCCUCUGUGCCCUGGAGAGCAGCUGGGACUGGAGGGAUUGUGCUUAAAUCUCACAAGUCCUUGUGAAUUGCUCCUGUCCCACUGUUCC
rnacentral:lncRNA from 1 species